UUGAAGUGUAACUUGUAGACUUGUAACCUUCAAAGUAUGACAAUUUGUUUCUUUUCAACAGGAAUUGCUGUAUAUCCCCAAUCAAUCAGCUACUGUGCACUCUUUGAUUUUACGCUACCGGUGCUUCCAAAUCACUGCUGGAGAUCUGUGUGGCUUCAGUUCCUCUACAGUGAAUAUGGUUGUGCGCAAAGUAAGCUGUGCUAUUGCUUCACUACGUACCCAAUAUAUUCAUUUUCCCGAAACACCAGAUGAAAUAAGACUGACCCAGUUACAUUUUUAUCGAAGAGCCAAGUUUCCGAGAGCCAUUGGUGCCAUUGAUUCAUGAUUGUACUCAUGUCAAGUUUGUGGCAAUCACCAGGCACAAUCAUACGUACUGGUGGAAGCAAUGAAAAACAUAACAUUCAUUUGAUCAAAAGGCUUAAUAAAAAUACAGAGUGCAGCAAGACAGUGUAUUUUAGAGGCUUAAAAAAAUAUGUCACAACUUAUAGAAAUGAGAUUAAUUUUUCUUUAUUUGAUACAUCAUGCUGUUUUAUUCAUCAAGUAUCUCAAAAUAACAUCAUAAGGUGAUGGCCCCUAAACAGUCAAAUAUUGAUGAAGUCAAUUUCUUAAGUUUUCAGCCGUAUCUUGGCACAUCUAGACGGGUAACCUCAUAUGAAGUUGUUGCAGAUUCUCAAAUCAAGUGAGCAUGAAGGGAACUCCACGUCACCCUUUAGAGAAAUAAGGCGCACAGAGAACAUCUGUUGCAGUUGAAAGCUGUUCUCCGGACCAACCCAUGUUAACGACUGACUACGAAACAACCAGUCCGACUCAAUCAUUGUAAAAUUAAUACAUUAAUUGCUCUGCACGGAAUGUAAAAUUAACCAGUUUUUUUCAUA